GGAAGAGUCUACUCAGUGCACUUUAUUUGCAUGUUUUUAAAAACACAACAUACCAGGUAAAGUUUAUGUCGUCUGCGGUUUGUUUAGCGCCUAUAAUCUGGUUAAAACUUGUGAGACCAGAGCAUAUAUAUUGCUGCAGAAUUCCACAGAAUUUUUAAUAUCAGCUUCAGAAAAACAAGUUCUAUGCAGAGCUGGACAGACAUACUCCUCGACUGAUUGCUGUUUACAGGCUGAAGGCUGCCCGUACAGGCAAGGCAGCAGAAGCACUGAGAAGCAUCUGUAGUGCCUAUGAUCUUACGGUGAAUUUUGUUAAUUACAUUUAUAGUACAAGUUAAUUGGUUAAUGUGCACAAGUAUUUUACUGCUAUCUGGUUAUUGUUUAAACCUGGCUUUUAACUUUUUUUUGCUUUACAUUUCUUCCCUUCUUUCAUCUGUACUUUUUUUCUCUAUUUUAUUAUUUUCUCUUGCAUCACUAAAGACAAUUCUAUCUUUUUUCAGGAUCACUACGAUAUUGGCAACAGACGUUCAGCUGCACUUCGAGCCCCCCCUGUCUAUUUGCACGAAGAUGACUCUGUGUUUUUUUUAAGAUGUGGAAUGUGGGUUUUUAUACAUCUCCUUUGAAUUUUAAUGUUAUUUAUCUGAUUAUGCUUAUGAAGUUCUCUAAUGCUUUUCAGACUGAAGAGGUUGAUGAGCCAGACACUGCAGAUUCAGCUCUUGUCAGCAUGGUGAAUGGAGACUCGAGUUCCACUGUUCAAUUUGACCCUGCUGGGAUUGCUGUUGUGCUGGAAGGUGACAUUGUUCUAAGGGACAUUUCCAGGUUGGCUGAUGCUUUUCUUUUGAUGUUUGGUUUGAUAUAUGCAUUACAUCUCAACUACCCCAAAGAGCUGACCCACACCUUUAACUUCAUCCAAAAAGUCUUACUGGGUUUGGAGGACUCAAAGCCACUAACACCCAGAUUGCUGAGUCAAAAAAUGAGCUACUGAAUAAGGAGUAAGAGUAAUGGAUGUACGAGUGCGAUACAAUUUAUUUUCUGUUCUUUUCAGUUGUUGUGACUACUGUAUUUGCCCUAUUAAACACUGAGCUCAAGCUUUUAAAUUCCCCAGUGAAGUGGAGAAUUGCAUUUUAAUUUAAGUAUUUACUGGGAUUGCGUUACUGAAUGCCACUAGCCCCCAGAUUGCUGUCUAAAUUUUCUGGAUAAACAAGAGACUGUUUAU